UGGCAUAUCAUUGGUGUGACACAAAUUGUCACACCCUACUUCAAAAAUUCAUAUCUUAACAACCACAUAUGAUAAAUUCAAGAACUCUACAUCAAAACAAACAUGAAUGAGUGUAGAAUAACCACAAAAAAGUUCAGAUCAAAUGGAUGCAUCAUCACAAUUUCACAAAAGAAUUGGCAAAAGGUACAAAAUGUGCAUACAUGACAAGAAACCUAAUACCAUUAAAAAU
rnacentral:lncRNA from 1 species